AGUGAACGCUGGCGGUAGGCCUAACACAUGCAAGUCGAACGGCAGCACAGUAAGAGCUUGCUCUUACGGGUGGCGAGUGGCGGACGGGUGAGGAAUACAUCGGAAUCUACUUUUUCGUGGGGGAUAACGUAGGGAAACUUACGCUAAUACCGCAUACGACCUACGGGUGAAAGCAGGGGAUCUUCGGACCUUGCGCGAUUGAAUGAGCCGAUGUCGGAUUAGCUAGUUGGCGGGGUAAAGGCCCACCAAGGCGACGAUCCGUAGCUGGUCUGAGAGGAUGAACAGCCACAAUUGAACUUAGACACCGUCCCGAGCCCUAAGGGGAGGCGGAGUUGGGAAAUUUUGACAAAGGGGGGAAGCCUUAACCAGGCAAACCUCGUGAGUUGAAAAAGCCUUCCGGUUGGUAAAGCCUUUUUGUUGGGAAAGAAAAGCGGAAGGUUAAACCCCCGCGGUUCGACGGUACCCAAAAGAAAAGCACCGGCUAACUUCGUG
rnacentral:rRNA from 1 species